CGCCGCCGCCGCCGCAGGGGCUCAGAGCGCCCGGCUCCCUCAGCCAGAGGGGCGCGCCCGGCCCGGCUUCUGUCCGCCUGGCGUCUCCUUGCUCCUGCGGAACGCGCAGGCCGGCCCGCUAACUCUCAGGCCGCCGCUCCGGCCGCUGCUCGGGCUCCGGCUCGCGCUCCUCUGAGAAACCCACAAGCCCGGCAAGCCGCGGCGCUGGCGGCGGCGGCGGCGGCGGCGGCGGCAGGCGGCAUCCCAGGGUGAUAGGCCGGAGCAAUCGAGAGCCGAGCGCACGGCCGCGUGUGCAAUCCAGUAGCCGAGCGGAGGAGGAACUGCCGCCGAAGACAGCAAAAAUCGGGUGCAAACAGGACAGUCCAGGACCUGGACAAACAGGACAGGUGCAAACAGGACCUGGCAAAGCAACCACUGGUGCAGCAGUCCCUCUGUUCCAGAGUAUGUGAUGGCAAGUCUCAGGUGGUCAGGUAGCUGCCGCUCAUCCUACUGCACUCUUGGUAGAAAGAUGAAUGAAAACCAUAGCUGAGCUGUAAGCUUGCCGAGACCAAGCCUGGGUCACUCACUGACGUAGCUCAAAGCCCCAAGAAGGUCGGCAUCAUUGUGGUGCCUCUCUCCAGAAGAUGGUAACAAAAAUUGGAGUCAGCCAGCACACCAGGAUCCUUUUUCCUCUGUGGCAAGACCAAGAUAAUAAUGGUCACGGUCCUCUGGCCCUGUGGUUCUUUCAUGAAAACAGUGGCUGGUGGGUCCUGGACCUAUAACAGAACAGCACUUCUGCUGUCAAAAUCACAUCGGCCAUCAGAAGACUGAAGGAAUGGAAAGACCAGUGGAAAUGCCAUCAUUUGAGCAGCCUUGGCCUACAAUAGGUGAUUUAACUCAACAAAAUCAUAAUAAAAAGUGUUGGUGAGGGGUUGGGGAUUUAGCU